rnacentral:rRNA from 1 species
UGGGGAAUAUUGCACAAUGGGCGCAAGCCUGAUGCAGCCAUGCCGCGUGUAUGAAGAAGGCCUUCGGGUUGUAAAGUACUUUCAGCGGGGACGAAGGGAGUAAAGUUAAUACCUUUGCUCAUUGACGUUACCCGCAGAAGAAGCACCGGCUAACUCCGUGCCAGCAGCCGCGGUAAUACGGAGGGUGCAAGCGUUAAUCGGAAUUACUGGGCGUUAAGCGCAUGCAGGCGGUCUGUCAAGUCGGAUGUGAAAUCCCCAGGCUCAACCUGUGAACUGCAUUCGAAACUGGCAGGCUAGAGUCUUGUAGAGGGGGGUAGAAUUCCAGGUGUAGCGGUGAAAUGCGUAAAGAUCUGGAGGAAUACCGGUGGCGAAGGCGACCCCCUGGACAAAGACUGACGCUCAGGUGCGAAAGCGUGGGGAGCAAACAGG